rnacentral:rRNA from 1 species
GGUGAACGCUGGCGGCGUGCUUAAGACAUGCAAGUCGAACGCAGUCUUCGGACUGAGUGGCGCACGGGUGAGUAACACGUAACUGACCUACCCCCAAGUCGCGGAUAACUGGCCGAAAGGUCAGCUAAUACGUGAUGUGAUGUCCCCUUUCUGGGGGGCCAUUAAAGGUUUACUGCUUGGGGAUGGGGUUGCGUUCCAUCAGCUAGUUGGCGGGGUAAAGGCCCACCAAGGCAACGACGGAUAGCCGGCCUGAGAGGGUGGCCGGCCACAGGGGCACUGAGACACGGGUCCGACUCGUACGGGAGGCAGCAGUUAGGAAUCUUCCACAAUGGGCGAAAGCCUGAUGGAGCGACGCCGCGUGAGGAAUGAAGGUUCUCGGAUCGUAAACCUCUGAAUCAGGGACGAAAGACGCGUAAGCGGGAUGACGGUACCUGAGUAAUAGCACCGGCUAACUCCGUGCCAGCCGCCGCGGUAA